rnacentral:rRNA from 1 species
ACGAAGAGUUUGAUCCUGGCUCAGGAUGAACGCUAGCGGCAGGCUUAACACAUGCAAGUCGAGGGGCAGCAGGUCUUCGGAUGCUGGCGACCGGCGCACGGGUGCGUAACGCGUAUGCAACUUACCCUAUACAGGGGGAUAGCCCGAGGAAACUCGGAUUAAUACCCCAUAGUUUAUAGAUUUCGCAUGGGAUUUAUAAUAAAAUUACGAUGGUAUAGGAUGGGCAUGCGUGACAUUAGGUAGUUGGAGAGGUAACGGCUCACCAAGCCGACGAUGUCUAGGGGUCCUGAGAGGGUUACCCCCCACACUGGUACUGAGACACGGACCAGACUCCUACGGGAGGCAGCAGUGAGGAAUAUUGGUCAAUGGAGGCAACUCUGAACCAGCCAUGCCGCGUGCAGGAAGACGGCCCUAUGGGUUGUAAACUGCUUUUAUACAGGGCGAAUUCUGUUACGUGUAACAGGUUGACGGUACUGUAUGAAUAAGCACCGGCUAACUCCGUGCCAGCAGCCGCGGUAAUACGGAGGGUGCAAGCGUUAUCCGGAUUCAUUGGGUUUAAAGGGUGCGUAGGCGGCUAUAUAAGUCAGUGGUGAAAAUAUCGGGCUCAACCCGAUACGUGCCAUUGAUACUGUGUAGCUUGAAUCAAAUCGACGCGGGAGGAAUGCGACAAGUAGCGGUGAAAUGCUUAGAUAUGUCGCAGAACACCGAUAGCGAAGGCAUCUCGCGAGGUUUCGAUUGACGCUGAGGCACGAAAGCGUGGGUAUCAAACAGGAUUAGAUACCCUGGUAGUCCACGCAGUAAACGAUGAUAACUGGGUUUUUGUAGUGUAACUAUGAGAGCCUUUAGCGAAAGCAUUAAGUUAUCCACCUGGGGAGUACGUUCGCAAGUAUGAAACUCAAAGGAAUUGACGGGGGCCCGCACAAGCGGAGGAACAUGUGGUUUAAUUCGAUGAUACGCGAGGAACCUUACCCGGGUUUAAAUGUAGAUUGCAUAGAGUAGAGAUAUUCUUUUCCUUUACGGGACCAUCUACAAGGUGCUGCAUGGUUGUCGUCAGCUCGUGCCGUGAGGUGUCGGGUUAAGUCCCAUAACGAGCGCAACCCUUGCUACCAGUUACCAGCAUGUAAAGAUGGGGACUCUGGUAGGACUGCCGCCGUAAGGCGUGAGGAAGGAGGGGAUGACGUCAAAUCAGCACGGCCCUUACAUCCGGGGCGACACACGUGUUACAAUGGUCGGUACAGAGGGCAGCUACACCGCGAGGUGAUGCUAAUCUCGAAAGCCGGUCGUAGUUCGGAUUGGAGUCUGCAACUCGACUCCAUGAAGCUGGAUUCGCUAGUAAUCGCAUAUCAGCCAUGAUGCGGUGAAUACGUUCCCGGGCCUUGUACACACCGCCCGUCAAGCCAUGGAAGCUGGGGGUACCUAAAGUACGUAACCGCAAGGAGCGUCCUAGGGUAAAACUAGUAACUGGGGCUAAGUCGUAACAAGGUAGCCGUACCGGAAGGUGUGGCUGGACCACCUCCUUU